rnacentral:rRNA from 1 species
CCUACGGGUGGCAGCAGUGGGGAAUAUUGCACAAUGGGGGAAACCCUGAUGCAGCGACGCCGCGUGAGUGAAGAAGUAAUUCGUUAUGUAAAGCUCUAUUAGCAGGGAAGAAAAUGACGGUACCUGAGUAAGAAGCACCGGCUAACUACUUGCCAGCAGCCGCGGUAAUACGUAGGGGGCAAGCGUUAUCCGGAUUUACUGGGUGUAAAGGGAGCGUAGACGGCAGUGCAAGUCUGGAGUGAAAGGGGGGGGCUCAACCCCCGGACUGCUGUUGAAACUGUACGGCUGGAGUACAGGAGAGGUAGGUGGAAUUCCUAGUGUAGCGGUGAAAUGCGUAGAUAUUAGGAGGAACACCAGUGGCGAAGGCGGCUUACUGGACUGUAACUGACGUUGAGGCUCGAAAGCGUGGGGAGCAAACAGGAUUAGAUACCCCAGUAGUC